rnacentral:rRNA from 1 species
UACGUAGGGAGCAAGCGUUGUCCGGAAUCAUUGGGCGUAAAGCGCGCGUAGGUGGCCCCAUAAGUCCGCUGUGAAAGUCAAAGGCUCAACCUUUGAAAGCCGGUGGAUACUGUGGGACUAGAGUACGGAAGAGGCGAGUGGAAUUCCUGGUGUAGCGGUGGAAUGCGCAGAUAUCAGGAGGAACACCGGUGGCGAAGGCGGAUCUCUGGGCAGAUACUGACGCUGAGGAGCGAAAGCGUGGGGAGCGAACAGG